CCUACGGGAGGCAGCAGUGGGGAAUAUUGGGCAAUGGGCGCAAGCCUGACCCAGCAACGCCGCGUGAAGGAAGAAGGCUCUCGGGUUGUAAACUUCUUUUCUCAGGGACGAAGAAAGUGACGGUACCUGCGGAAUAAGCCACGGCUAACUACGUGCCAGCAGCCGCGGCCAUACGUAGGUGGCAAGCGUUAUCCGGAUUUAUUGGGUGUAAAGGGCGUGUAGGCGGGAGCGCAAGCCAGAUGGGAAAAUUCAGGGCUCAACCCUGUGCCUGCAAUUGAAACUGUGUUUCUUGAGUGCUGGAGAGGCAAGCGGAAUGCGGGGUGUAGCGGUGAAAUGCGUAGAUAUACGGAAGAACACCAAUGGCGAAGGCGGAUUGCUGGACAGUGACUGACGCUGAAGCGCGAAAGCGUGGGGAGCGAACAGGAUUAGAUACCCGUGUAGUC
rnacentral:rRNA from 1 species